rnacentral:rRNA from 1 species
CUUCGGAGCCUAGCGGCGGACGGGUGAGUAACACGUGGGCAACCUGCCUGACAGACUGGGAUAACGCUUGGAGACGAGUGCUAAUACCAGAUAGUCUCUUGCGCCUCAUGGCGCUUGAGGGAAAGUGGCUUUUGCCACACUGUCAGAUGGGCCCGCGGCGCAUUAGCUAGUUGGUGAGGUAACGGCUCACCAAGGCGACGAUGCGUAGCCGACCUGAGAGGGUGACCGGCCACACUGGGACUGAGACACGGCCCAGACUCCUACGGGAGGCAGCAGUAGGGAAUCUUCCACAAUGGGCGCAAGCCUGAUGGAGCAACGCCGCGUGAGUGAUGACGGCCUUCGGGUUGUAAAACUCUGUCUUCUGUGACGAACAAGCCUGUGACUGGAAUGCUCAGGCCCUGACGGUAACAGAGGAGGAAGCCACGGCUAACUACGUGCCAGCAGCCGCGGUAAUACGUAGGUGGCAAGCGUUGUCCGGAAUCACUGGGCGUAAAGCGCGCGCAGGCGGCGGUCUGCGUCCGGGGUGAAAACCCAGAGCUCAACUCUGGGACUGCCUUGGAUACGGGAUCGCUUGAGGAUCGGAGAGGCAAGGGGUAUUCCACGUGUAGCGGUGAAAUGCGUAGAGAUGUGGAGGAACACCUGUGGCGAAGGCGCCUUGCUGGCCGAU